rnacentral:rRNA from 1 species
UACGUAGGGUGCGAGCGUUGUCCGGAAUUACUGGGCGUAAAGGGCUCGUAGGCGGCCAACUAAGUCAGACGUGAAAUCCCUCAGCUUAACUGGGGAACUGCGUCUGAUACUGGAUGGCUUGAGUUCGGGAGAGGGAUGCGGAAUUCCAGGUGUAGCGGUGAAAUGCGUAGAUAUCUGGAGGAACACCGGUGGCGAAGGCGGCAUCCUGGACCGACACUGACGCUGAGGAGCGAAAGCCAGGGGAGCAAACGGG